UCCGCAACAUAUUUCUUCAAAAUGAUACUCUGAUUUUUAAAUAAAACAUAAAUAAAUCGGUGUUUUCUGGCCGUAAAAUUGGAGAUGUCACAUCAUAAUAUACUACAACUGCAUAUAUGUUUUUUGAUCUAGUUAUUUCCAACCAAUAGAUGACAAAAUAUCAAUUUUAUGAAAAUCGACGACUUACAAAACCAAAACCACAUGUGUGGAGUUGUGUGAAUGGAGUGGGGGUGGGGUGGAGUCGAGGUUAGGUAAGGUAGGUUAAGGGUGGAGUGAUGUGUGAUAUGUGUUUAUUUAUUAUUAUUUUUUUAGUAAAAUUAUAUAAAAGAAAAGUGAAAUUGAAAUUGAAAAUGGUAUAAUAGUAAUUUCAGAUCAAAUAUGUAAGAAAAUGAUACCAUGAGGAUCAACAAUGCAAUAUUUAGGCUCACGGGAGUGGCUUGCCACCCCCUUCGCUGCCACUCCCUACCCAUGUUAUGCACCUACACUAAGAUUGGCUCGCUAGUUGUUUGACGAGAGGAAAGUGAAGACGAGAGUAAGACAUGUGGUCCCCAUUUGACUAUUUCAGCUUGAAAUGCUUGUAACUCCAGCUUUAGCAACUUGUAUCAUUUUUAUAGUUUAUAUUAUUUAAAUAGUUAAAUAAAAUUUUAUUUGAUUUAAGAAAAAAAUGUUUACCUUAAACACAUCACCACUCCAUAUCAUCAUAUUAUGCUUAAGUGUUCAUAAAAAUAUGACGUGCCAAUGGUUUUAGCAUAUAUUACCACAUGCUAUCACUCCUUUCAGCCUUAGGCUGCACGUUAUGGGCAACCUUAAAAAACGUCGUUGAAAGGCCACAUAUGCAAAAACCCUGCACCACGUUUUUUCAAGGCUGGUGUUCUAAACUCACAACGCCGUUGUGAGACUAAUUUUAAAGAAGAAAAACAGAGGAAUGGAAGAAGAAACUCCCAUUGCCCUUCGUUACGAUCACAACGCCAAGCCACGUAACACAUAAAACGGGAGGCUAGGGUGGUGUUUGGGCCGUGGUAAAGGUGUUUUCCGGCGUCAGGUCACAAAAACGUUAAUGCGCGUUGCCCACACCGAGUCGUCUUUAGAAACCACAUGAUCAUGUUCAUCAAUUUAUUUGCAGGGACUAAGUUUGUGACAUUUGAUAAACUACAUGGACCAUUUAUGUAAUUUUGUCUUAAUUAUUUAAGACCUCUUAAACCCUCUCGCAGUUUUCUACUUCCGAGUUCAGAUCCUAAUUUUGUGAAAGCAGCAUCAGUUAAUAUAUUUAUAUCCUGUUGAUCCUUUCCUUCUGCUCCAGUAGCAGAUCAAACUUCCAAGUUUGUUUCCCCAUGAUCUGCGAUGCCUAUUUGCGUUUUGAGGUUUAUUAGAUAGAGAUAUACCACUUAUAGAUCUCUACUGUAGGUGCCAAACAAGAUCGAGACAUAACCUGAACUUGAAUCGUUAGUUACGAGAUCGAUGCAAUCCGCUACAUGUUCUCUUAUGUCGCGAUCAAUCGGUUUGAAUUGUUUUUAAGACCUAAAUUAACGUCUUACAAGUUACAAUCCAUUUUCUGUUUCGUGAUCUUCAAACCCCCUUGAGUUUGAAAUCGAUUUUGUUUUCAUCUGUAUUUAGUUUCUAGGUCGAACGUGUAAGUUUCUUUGCAUCUUCUAUGUAGAGAUUUUGUUACUACUAAUGGUCGCAUAGCGAAGUGGAUAUCGCGUUAGAUUCCGAAUCUAAAGGUCGUGGGUUCGAAUCCCACUGUGAUCAGAACUUUUCUUUUUUGAUUUGAUUGUUUUGUUCAUAUUCCUAUUUUGUUUGCUUUUAAAUCAAAGUUUUCUUCCAAUUUCUUGUAA